rnacentral:rRNA from 1 species
GACGAACGCUGGCGGCGUGCCUAAUACAUGCAAGUCGAGCGAAGUGGCGGAUGGGUGAGUACCGAGUGGGUAACCUGCCCUUAAGUAUGGGAUACCAGUUGGAAACAGAUGCUAAUACCGGAUACUAAAGGAUGGACCAGCGAUGCAUUAGCGAGUGGGUAAGGUACCGGCUUACCAAGGCGAUGAUGCAUAGCCGAGUUGUGUGACUGAUCGGCCACAUUGGGACGGCGACACGGCCCAAACGCCUACGGGAGGCAGCAGUAGGGAAUCUUCCACAAUGGACGAAAGUCUGAUGGAGCAACGCCGCGUGAGUGAAGAAGGUUUUCGGAUCGUAAAGCUCUGUUGUUGGUGAAGCGGUAAUCAACCAGAAAGUCACGGUUAACUACGUGCCAGCCGCCGCGGUAAUUC